AUUUGGAUUGGAACGAAAGGUAAGAUUGAGACACAUGAUAUUUUCGUUUGCUAUAGUGAUACCCUCAACUAGGUCCACACUUUGGCCAGAUUGUUGGAUACGACAUCAUUUCAAAUUUAGAUGUGUUUCAUCGUGUCUUAUCGAUUCCAGACUCUAACGUCAUAAAUCGAUGACUGACAGCUCUGCGACCUUGUGUACAACACUCUUCUGCCUUGUGCCAUAGUUGCGUAUGGGAAUAUAAAGGAAGAGUGCACAAAUGGUCAAGGACAGUCACAACGUGACUGCUCAGGAAUCGAAGACAUAUUGUUAGAGUCUGUAAAUCUGGUAUGCUUCCGUUCGUAAUCCAACGAAUUCUUUCUGACAACUGCUGUUGUGUCUAGGGGAGUUGCCUCCUUUGGUUACAAGAAAAAGUUUUCCAUGGUCUCAACGAUCAAAAAAGAUAACUAGGGAAGUUACUCAAAUUGGAUAUUUAAUUCACAGAAGGCAUUCAUUACGUUUAGGCGAUAGAAUCUGCCUGUACUACAACAACAGGAAAUUACACAUGAUUCAUGUAAUUCUGCGCUCCUUUUUUCUUCAGACUUUCAGCUUUUGUCAGAAUGUCGGAUACGAUGGUUUGCAAAUGCACUGAGGUGUAUUUGUUCUUUUUGUCUUCUGGCUUCCAGACUCUAGUGUCGUAAGUCGGGUAAAGUACGGAUCUGCGACCUCGAGUACAACAGUUCCCUGUCCCGUGCCAAAGAGCGAACGACUACGGCUUCACCGCGAAAGGGGAAUUGCACUAAUGGUCAAAGACAAUAACCUUGUGACUGCUCCGGAUGCGCAGACAUCAACUAGAGUCGGUAAACCCAGAGUGCUUUCAUUCGUACUCGCAAUCCUGACGUACUUCGCAAUCCUGACAUCUGCUGUUAGAGUCUAGAAGAUUGGACGCCUGUUCGAAUGAAACAACAGGGUUCCGAACUACACCAUCAUCAAAUCUUCUACCCGAGACUUAUAGAGGACGUACUGUCAGAGCUUCUAAACUAAACUGAUGACAAGUUGUUAGUGAUGACAAAUUGUAACGAGCAAAGAUGAUCAAUUUGCGCCUCUCUUGUGACAUCUAGGCUUGCUCGCUACUUUUUAACUUACUUGUUAUUCGGAUUUUCGUCCAACAAAAUCAUCUUCACAACACUCAUUGUCCAAAAGGUAAAGUUAUAUUAGUUUUUCGACUAAUAAAAUAUUCAAUAAA